CCUACGGGUGGCUGCAGUGGGGAAUAUUGGGCAAUGGACGAAACUCUGACCCAGCAACGCCGCGUGAAUGAUGAAGGUCUUCGGAUUGUAAAGCUCUUUUUUUAGGGAAGAAGACAGUGACGGUACCUUAGGAAUAAGCCUCGGCUAACGACGUGCCAGCAGCCGCGGUAAUACGUAGGAGGCGAGCGUUAUCCGGAAUGACUGGGCGUAAAGGGUGCGUAGGUGGUUUGGCAAGUUAGUAGCGUAACUCCAAGGCUCAACCUUGGAACUAGUACUAAGACUGUUGGACUUGAGUGCAGGAGGGGCAAGCGGAAUUCCUAGUGUAGCGGUGGAAUGCGUAGAUAUUA
rnacentral:rRNA from 1 species